UAAGGGAAGAACACGUACGAGAGUAACUGCUCGUACCUUGACGGUACCUUAUUAGAAAGCCACGGCUAACUACGUGCCAGCAGCCGCGGUAAUACGUAGGUGGCAAGCGUUGUCCGGAAUUAUUGGGCGUAA
rnacentral:rRNA from 1 species